GGUGAGAAGAAGAGGUCAUUGGGGCGGGACUACCACCCUCUGUGUCUGAAGUGUCAACAGUGUCAGAGACAGUUGACCUCAGGACAACAUGCUGAGCAUGAUGAGAAACCCUACUGCACUAACUGUUACAUGAAGAUGUUUGGUACCAGAGCAGGUAACAGGAGACUGAUGUCAAACUGUCACAGCUCAGCCUCCUCUUCCUCUUCCUCCUCCUAGGAACCAGUCUACCAAAAACCACCAAAAUACAACCUAAUGAGAACUAACAGCCUAUCAACAAGGAUCUAUGUUCAACAAACCUGACAUUCAGCCAUCAAGACAAUGACCAACCAACUAGACCCAACAUUCAGCCAACCAACAUUUGACCAACCAAGAAAUAUUC